CUUUUUCAUUUGGAAAAUCGAACGCUUAUGUUUUUUUCAGAAAAGAUAUCUACUGAACAAAUCAUCUGAAAACUAAGGCUAAUAGGAGAGGAUGAAGAAUACUUCUGUUAAAAGGUCAAUCCAACUUGAACUUGAAGUGCAAGUGGGUCUUCAAAAAUGUGGACCACUCAAGGACUUUUCUGUUGGUUGAUGAUGGACUACAAACUGAAUAUUUAACAAAGAAAUCCACUUUGGUGCUUAUUGGCUACUAAUGAUGUGAACUUGUGCAUUUAUUAUACCAAGUACUUUUACAUUUCCUUGAUGAUACUAGACUUGCAUAUACCGAAUUCAAGUUUAGUUGAUUGAUUGCAGUUCUAAGUUCCUCUCGCAAGAUUAUAUCUCUCAUGUAUGAGACAUCAUUAAAUGCAGACAUUUUCUCUGUCCUCCUGUUGUGACAUGAGAGCUCGGACUUAGUUGUAAAAAUAUUUAUGAUGCAAGAGAAAAUAAAUGGCCAAGCCAA